rnacentral:rRNA from 1 species
AGAGUUUGAUCCUGGCUCAGGAUGAACGCUAGCUACAGGCUUAACACAUGCAAGUCGAGGGGCAGCAGGACGGUAGCUUGCUACUGUCGCUGGCGACCGGCGCACGGGUGAGUAACGCGUAUCCAACCUUCCCCUGAGUAGGGAAUAGCCCGGCGAAAGUCGGAUUAAUGCCCUAUGCUGUCCGACGAUAGCAUUUGAAUCGGACGAAAGAUUUAUCGCUCAGGGAUGGGGAUGCGUCUGAUUAGGUUGCAGGCGGGGUAACGGCCCACCUGGCCGACGAUCAGUAGGGGUUCUGAGAGGAAGGUCCCCCACAUUGGAACUGAGACACGGUCCAAACUCCUACGGGAGGCAGCAGUGAGGAAUAUUGGUCAAUGGGCGAGAGCCUGAACCAGCCAAGUAGCGUGCAGGAAGACGGCCCUAUGGGUUGUAAACUGCUUUUGGAGGGGAAUAAAGUGGCGUACGUGUACGCCUUUGUAUGUACCCUCAGAAUAAGGACCGGCUAAUUCCGUGCCAGCAGCCGCGGUAAUACGGAAGGUCCGGGCGUUAUCCGGAUUUAUUGGGUUUAAAGGGAGCGCAGGCCGCCGAUUAAGCGUGACGUGAAAUGUCCCGGCUCAACCGGGGAGUUGCGUCGCGAACUGGUUGGCUUGAGUGCGGACGAGGUAUGCGGAAUUCGUGGUGUAGCGGUGAAAUGCUUAGAUAUCACGAAGAACCCCGAUUGCGAAGGCAGCGUACCAGGCCGUAACUGACGCUAAUGCUCGAAGGUGCGGGUAUCGAACAGGAUUAGAUACCCUGGUAGUCCGCACGGUAAACGAUGGAUGCCCGCUGUUUG